CCCACCUUUCAGAUUACGUGUGAUAGGUGUGAUUUUAAGGACCAAGCUAAAAAGAUUAACCGUCUGGUCCUGUAUAAGGCAAUCUCAUGCAAACUGGGUUUGAUGAGUCAGGCCUAGUCAGUCUCGCCUUCCGCCCAUUCAUCACAAGGUACCCAAGCAUUCUAGACGGGCAGAGCCCUACUUGUGUCACCUGGGCUGGUAUUUUUAGCAUCCAUUAGCACACUUUGCAAGGUAGCAUCCAUAAAUAGAGCACCAUCUCAUCUGCCCCAAAAAACAAACAAAAAUACCCUCAGUUACUAUCCUUUAUUGACACAUAUUAAACCUCAGGUUCCUCUCAUGUGCUUUGCAAUCUGAACUGUUUGUGGGGAGGGGGUUGCCCCACCAAGCUCAGUCUACCCUCAGCCAGCACCCCACCUACUUAAAUGCGCCAUUGGGGGUGAGGCCAAGCUUUUGGAAGCUUGCAGCACCUUGCUGUGGUCGCAGAGACCGAUAUGGGAGAGACAUGUUUUGUUUUUCAAAAUUUUUUAUUCAUUUUAUAACAAAUAAAAAACACAAAUAGAAAAACAAACAAUACAAACAAAUUCUUGUCAUAUCCUUAUUUUCCUAAACAUUGUUAAGUGGGCUUCCCCAAGUCCCACCUAUCUGAUUUUCAUUUUACUUCAUCUUUAGCAGUUUACAUAUAUCAUAGUUUCUAACCAUCUUUUUUUUUAUCACACUGAAAAUAACUUCACAUUUUAUUGCUUACAAAUAAUGUUAUUUUAAAAUAAACUAUCUUCUACUUCUAACCCUACAGCCUAUAUCCACUUCUAAAGCUAUUCUAAGAUUUAAAUAUUAACAUAUUUUUUCAAAUAUUCCUUAAACUUCUUCCAGUCUUCUUCCACCGUCUCUUCUCUCUGGUCUCAGAGUCUCCCGGUCAGUUCGGCAAGUUCCAUAUAGUCCAUCAUCUUCAUCUGCCAUUCUUCCGAUAGUUGGUAAAUUUUGUUUCUUCCAUUUCUUUGCUAGCAGGAGAGACAUGUUUUGUUGCAGCUGGGGCAGAUGAAGACAUCCAGUUGUGCUGCUACAGAUGCACCAGGGCGUUUGCUCUCUCUGUGUUCCUCUCAGCAGUCAUUUCUCCUCUGCUCACUGCUAUGGAUACACGACCUGACUGCCUAUCUCCAGGUACUGUGGUUGUCUGCAAGGGAUCCCCACAAGGCAGAGUUGGUGUUGCUAGCUGCCACAUCAUGUGCCAGCUGCAGACAUCUUUGUAACACGGAUGGUCUGCCAACUGGCCUGGUGCUGAAAGCCAGCUCCCCAUAGACCACAUCCUUGGGGAUCCUGCCAUCUUCCAUACUGUGGACAUGAUGAAGCCAGCGGAGACAAAGCGGAGGCACCGUAAAACCAAUCAAGGGGGUGGCAAUGGUUGUCAGCUUCCUCCUCCUCCUCUGGGUUUAUUUGUGUCCUUCAAUUACAUUCAUGCUUCUUGCUUGUCUGGAGAGAGAUGUACAUGUAUGUAGCUGGGCUGUAGCCUACUGUACAAGGGCAACAAUCACAUCCAGUGCUUCACCUGCUUACCUGCUGCAAACCAGUUGAGGGGGUGGCAGUGCCAACUUCUCCUCUGUAGCAGUGUUGCCUUUGGAGAACUUGGCAGGGAGAGUGGAGGCAAAAUUCAUUGGCUCCAACUCUACCCGCCGUUGGCUCUGACUCCACCUACUGUUGGCCUCCCUGCAUUCCAGCCCACCUGUCCCAAUGGGCCACACUCACCAUUGGUUUGUGCCCAUUAGGGAAAGUGGGCUGAAAUCCCCACCCCCACCCUGUACUAGGGAUUAAGCGCUGUGAAACAGUGGCUCAUAUGCCCAGGAUUGCACUGCUAGACAAAUAAAUUGGACCAAAUAAAUAAAAGUGCCUGUUACUGUAUUUAUAUCGUCUGCAGGAUCAAUACAACUUUAAUGAUGGAAAAAAAUGGAGCUGAAGUCUGGAACCGAAAUAAAGAGCUAUUACUCAUCUUUAGGAUAUGACUGUCAAAUGCCCAAAAGGUACUUCCUUUGUUUUUCUUUUUAAAGAACGGUUAUUCCUAUGAAUCAUGGUUAGCCUGUGGCCAGCUAUAAUUACUCAAAUGUUCACUCACCCAGUGAUCCAUCCUUUGGAGUGCUGUGCAUGUCAUUUUCUGUCUGACUUAAAGAAUAUUCCACGUUUUGCAUUUGUGGAUUUUUGUCUGGCUUUCAAGCCAUUUUAUUAUAAAUGGGAGGAGGGCAAAGUGCACUUUUACAAUCAGGCAGAUUUAAAAAAAAAAACAAAAACCAACACUGCUAUUUGCCUAGCGCCAAUGACUUUUUAUCAUUUCAAGCUGGCUUUAAGUACAGCCAGCAAAUGAUUGCUAAAAUAUUAAUCAUCCAGUCUUGUUUCAAAGCAUAGGUCAGAGAGAAGGCAUGGAGCUUGAUAGAACUGUAGUAAAGUGAAUUGACAACACAGCUUACAAUACGAAAUCCAGAAUUUUAAAAAAGCAAGACAUCAACAGGACUAUUGACAAGAGUUUUAGAUCAGAUGAGCAGGGCCUGAAACAAAACAUUGCACUGUAUCCUCAUCCCAUAACAGAAGUGCUCAUCUGUCAGCCAGCCAGCCUCUCCGUACUUGAGACUCUUAUGUAUUUGGGAAAGUCUAUUGCUUGUCUGUCUUGUUUGCCUCCUAUGUGUUUGGACACCACUCAAUCUAUCACCAACUCAGAACAAGGGUUCCUGAGGAGGCAGGGGCAAGCUUUGCUGAUGUUUGGAUGCCAAGACCAUUUUGAAUCAAGAUGGACCAAAACAUGACUUUGGCAAAACUUCAUAACAUUGGCUUGACGGGUCCAAACUCACGUAUUACACCAUCCAUUUAUAAAUCACAAUUUAUUUUUGCUUUUUAAAAAUUCCCUGGCAGCAUCAGGCACUCCCCACUUGUGUACCAUAUAUUUUGGGAAGCCGUUUGUUCUCUGGUCUGUCCACUCUGUGGGUCCUGAUGCCAGUUAUCAUCGCCAAACUCAGUAGGAGGGUUCCCGAGGUCGUGGCAGCAGUCGAUACUGGUAUGGCAGACACCAUUUUGAAUCAAGAUGGAAGACUGAAAUGUCACUGUGGGGUGACUUCACUCAUUUUUGGUGAUAGGCUUGUCCACCUCUCACUGUAUCACCACCAAACUCAACGCGAGUGUCCCCGAAGUGGAGGCAGCGCUCUUCGUCGAAGUUUGCAUGCAGGGUGCCAUUUUGAAUAAACAUGGCAGACCAAAACAUGAUUUUGGUGUGACUUCACCCAGUUUGGUGUGACAGGCCCAGACUGCAGUGAGAAAGAGCUUGCCUUAGCUUUGGGUCGACUGGCUUCAAGUAUUACAGCCGAAAGCUUGGUAUAAUUGUUCAUGUAGUUUGUUUGCUAAAAGCAGAG
rnacentral:lncRNA from 1 species